UACGUAGGUGGCGAGCGUUGUCCGGAUUUACUGGGCGUAAAGAGCGCGCAGGCGGUCGUACAAGUCGCGUGUGAAAGCCCCUGGCUCAACUGGGGAGGGUCACGCGAUACUGUUCGACUCGAAGGCAGGAGAGGGAAGUUGAAUUCCCGGUGUAGUGGUGAAAUGCGUAGAUAUCGGGAGGAACACCAGUGGCGAAGGCGACUUCCUGGCCUGUUCUUGACGCUGAGGCGCGAAAGCUAGGGUAGCAAACGGG
rnacentral:rRNA from 1 species